rnacentral:rRNA from 1 species
ACGGGGGGAGCGAACGUUGUUCGGAAUCACUGGGCGUAAAGGGCGUGUAGGCGGCUGAAUAAGUGGGAUGUUAAAUCCCCCGGCUCAACCGGGGACCUGCAUCUCAUACUGUUCAGCUCGAGCACAUCAGAGGAGACUGGAAUUCCCGGUGUAGCGGUGAAAUGCGUAGAUAUCAGGAGGAACACCCAUGGCGAAGGCAGCUAACUGGGCAUUAUCUGACGCUGAGGCGCGAAAGCGUGGGUAGCAAACAGGA